rnacentral:rRNA from 1 species
CCUACGGGUGGCAGCAGUCGAGAAUCAUUCACAAUGGGCGAAACCCUGAUGGUGCGACGCCGCGUGGGGGAAUGAAGCUCUUCGGAUUGUAAACCCCUGUCAUGUGGGAGGAAAUUAAAACGAUCGUACCACAAGAGGAAGAGCCGGCUAACUCUGUGCCAGCAGCCGCGGUAAUACAGAGGUCUCAAGCGUUGUUCGGAAUCACUGGGCGUAAGGGGUGCGUAGGCUGUUUCGUAAGUCGUGUGUGAAAGGCGCGGGCUCAACGCGCGGACGGCACAUGAUACUGCGGGACUAGAGUAAGGGAGGGGGAAGCGGAAGGCGGGGUGUAGCAGGGAAAUGCGGAGA